rnacentral:rRNA from 1 species
AUGGGCGAGAGCCUGAACCAGCCAAGUAGACGUGCAGGAUGACGGCCCUAUGGGUUGUAAACUGCUUUUGUAUGGGGAUAAAGUCAAUCACGUGUGAUUGUUUGCAGGUACCAUACGAAUAAGGACCGGCUAAUUCCGUGCCAGCAGCCGCGGUAAUACGGAAGGUCCGGGCGUUAUCCGGAUUUAUUGGGUUUAAAGGGAGCGUAGGCUGGAGAUUAAGUGUGUUGUGAAAUGUAGACGCUCAACGUCUGACUUGCAGCGCAUACUGGUUUCCUUGAGUACGCACAACGUUGGCGGAAUUCGUCGUGUAGCGGUGAAAUGCUUAGAUAUGACGAAGAACUCCGAUUGCGAAGGCAGCUGACGGGAGCGCAACUGACGCUGAAGCUCGAAGGUGCGGGUAUCGAACAGGAUUAGAUACCCUGGUAGUCCGCACAGUAAACGAUGGAUGCCCGCUGUUGGUACCUGGUAUCAGCGGCUAAGCGAAAGCAUUAAGCAUCCCACCUGGGGAGUACGCCGACAACGGUGAAACUCAAAGGAAUUGACGGGGGCCCGCACAAGCGGAGGAACAUGUGGUUUAAUUCGAUGAUACGCGAGGAACCUUACCCGGGCUUGAAUUGCA